AUACGGAGGAUGCGAGCGUUAUCCGGAUUUAUUGGGUUUAAAGGGAGCGUAGGUGGGAUAUUAAGUCAGCUGUGAAAGUUUGGGGCUCAACCUUAAAAUUGCAGUUGAUACUGGUUUCCUUGAGUACGGUACAGGUGGGCGGAAUUCGUGGUGUAGCGGUGAAAUGCUUAGAUAUCACGAAGAACUCCGAUCGCGAAGGCAGUGAUCCGGGCCGGAACUGACACUGAUGCUCGAAAGUGCGUGUAUCAAACAGGAUUAGAUACCCUGGUAGUCCGCACAGUAAACGAUGAAUACUCGCUGUUUGCGAUACACUGUAAGCGGCCAAGCGAAAGCGUUAAGUAUUCCACCUGGGGAGUACGCCGGCACCGGUGAAACUCAAAUGAAUUGACGGGG
rnacentral:rRNA from 1 species